UGUAGUUGAUUGUAUUGUAGUAUUACCGCUGCCGUGUUUUGGAAGCAGUCGUACUGCAUUAAGAAGUUACUUUGUCCAUUUUAUAGCAGUGGUAUUAUUUCAGUAAACGAUCAUAUGUAAUUGUAUUUUGAUCAUAAUAUUUGUAUUAUAAUUUAGCAUUUUAUAAGGAAAACAGCUAAUUGCAGUAAAUCUUAAAUACUAACUUAAUACGUUCAACUCUAUAUAAUAAAUACAAUUAAUUAUAAACAGUAAAAUAUAACAUUUAAAAAAGCUAUUGUUUUUACAUAUUUUAAUUAGGUUUUGAUAUUGCAUUAAAUUAUUCUCUCGCUGUUCCGCUUCGCUGGUCUGAAUCCUAUGUCCUGUGACGAGGGCGAGUCGGCGGACAUACUCUGGAUGUCAGUAUUCCGGACUCUCCCGAGGAAGUGGGACAUCCCCAGCCACUGUUUCUGGUGGUGUUUGACUGCCUGUGACAAGAAAUAUAAUGAAUCUUGGUUGUAAAUCUCCCUCCCAACCUGUGAGGGUGCGAAGCAGCGAGGACCGUGUUCUUUGGACGGGCUGGCCUGACAGUUCUUUCCCUGGAUCGGAAAGUCGGUCAGUCUGGAAGAAGGCGAGACUCCGUUGCAAGAACGUAUUGACCCGGAAGGUAAACCAUGUAGCAGCCGCUGAUUGUAAAGGCAGCUGCAUUCGUUUACCAAGGGGUCAUGCCUGACAGCAUAUAAGGGGGACGGAGAAUUGUAAUCGUUUUUUUUGCUUUGGUUACAAAACAUAACUCAGAAGGACCCGUGCAGCAUUUAUGAAAUAUCAUGAGUGUUUGUUUGUCUUGUCUAUAAUUGUUACUUGUGUUUUAUAGACGGCUAACACAUUCCGGAGCUGUCGAGGGGCCAGCAUAAAACCCGGAACAGCACUGCACUAUUGUCACUCAUUAAACUGUAUCACCCACCACGAACACUACAGCACGCACCCAGGACUGGUGACCGUGUAUGUAUAUUGUGGGAGAGAUACCUGUGUUUAUUGUUUGGGACAGCAACCCGUUAUUAUUUAACCCUGUGCAUUACGUAUUGCUGGGUAUCAUUGUUUUGGUCACCAGACCUGGAGUAUAAAAAUAAAAUACCCCUUUUCCAUA